rnacentral:sRNA from 1 species
GGGAUGUCCUGUGCAGCAGUCUUGAAGUCAUUCCAGAUAUUGCUUUAACCUACCAGAACUUGUACUCCUUACAUUUUGAGACGUUGAGAAAGAAGGGCCUUAAUGGCUGUGACAGCCCAGACCCCGAUGCAGACGAUUCC